CAAACUCUCGUGGUGUGACGGGCGGUGUGUACAAGACCCGGGAACGUAUUCACCGUGGCAUGCUGAUCCACGAUUACUAGCGAUUCCGGCUUCAUGGAGGCGAGUUGCAGCCUCCAAUCCGAACUGGGAAUGAUUUUAUGGGAUUAGCUCCCCCUCGCGGGUUGGCAACCCUCUGUAUCAUCCAUUGUAGCACGUGUGUAGCCCAGGUCAUAAGGGGCAUGAUGAU
rnacentral:rRNA from 1 species